GGAGAGAUGGAUGAGCGGUCGAAGUCGCACGCCUGGAAAGCGUGUAGGGGUCCAAAGCCCCUCGGGGGUUCGAAUCCCCCUCUCUCCGCCA
rnacentral:tRNA from 2 species